AGACCUAAGCCUGCAGUCGAGAUUCUACGGGAGGCAGCAGUGGGGAAUAUUGGGCAAUGGAGGAAACUCUGACCCAGCGACGCCGCGUGCGGGAUGAAGGCCUUCGGGUUGUAAACCGCUUUCAGUAGGGAAGAAGCGAAAGUGACGGUACCUACAGAAGAAGCACCGGCUAACUAUGUGCCAGCAGCCGCGGUAAUACAUAGGGUGCAAGCGUUGUCCGGAAUUAUUGGGCGUAAAGAGCUCGUAGGUGGUUCGUUACGUCGGAUGUGAAAAUCUGGGGCUCAACCCCAGACCUGCAUCCGAUACGGUCGAGCUAGAGUUUGGUAGGGGAGACUGGAAUUCCUGGUGUAGCGGUGGAAUGCGCAGAUAUCAGGAGGAACACCAAUGGCGAAGGCAGGUCUCUGGGCCAAUACUGACACUGAGGAGCGAAAGCGUGGGGAGCGAACAGGAUUAGAUACCCUGGUAGUCCACGCCGUAAACGGUGGGCGCUAGUUGUGGGAACCUUCCACGGUUUCUGCGACGCAGCUAACGCAUUAAGCGCCCCGCCUGGGGAGUACGAUCGCAAGAUUAAAACUCAAAGGAAUUGACGG
rnacentral:rRNA from 1 species